rnacentral:rRNA from 1 species
UACGUAGGGUGCUAGCGUUGUUCGGAAUCAUUGGGCGUAAAGCGCGUGUAGGUGGUCAGUAAAGUUGGGUGUGAAAUCCCUCGGCUCAACCGAGGAAUUGCGCUCUAAACUACUGUGCUUGAGGAAUCUAGAGGUGAGCGGAACUGAUGGUGGAGCGGUGAAAUGCGUUGAUAUCAUCAGGAACACCGGAGGCGAAGGCGGCUCACUGGGGAUUUUCUGACGCUGAGGAACGAAAGCCAGGGGAGCGAACGGG